rnacentral:rRNA from 1 species
UACAGAGGUCUCAAGCGUUGUUCGGAUUCAUUGGGCGUAAAGGGUGCGUAGGUGGCGCUGUAAGUCAGGUGUGAAAUUUCGGAGCUUAACUCCGAAACUGCAUUUGAUACUGCGGUGCUUGAGGACUGGAGAGGAGACUGGAAUUUACGGUGUAGCAGUGAAAUGCGUAGAGAUCGUAAGGAAGACCAGUGGCGAAGGCGGGUCUC